rnacentral:rRNA from 1 species
AUUGAACGCUGGCGGCAGGCCUAACACAUGCAAGUCGAGCGGCAGCGGAAAGUAGCUUGCUACUUUGCCGGCGAGCGGCGGACGGGUGAGUAAUGUCUGGGAAACUGCCUGAUGGAGGGGGAUAACUACUGGAAACGGUGGCUAAUACCGCAUAACGUCGCAAGACCAAAGUGGGGGACCUUCGGGCCUCACGCCAUCGGAUGUGCCCAGAUGGGAUUAGCUAGUAGGUGGGGUAAUGGCUCACCUAGGCGACGAUCCCUAGCUGGUCUGAGAGGAUGACCAGCCACACUGGAACUGAGACACGGUCCAGACUCCUACGGGAGGCAGCAGUGGGGAAUAUUGCACAAUGGGCGCAAGCCUGAUGCAGCCAUGCCGCGUGUGUGAAGAAGGCCUUCGGGUUGUAAAGCACUUUCAGCGAGGAGGAAGGCAUCAUACUUAAUACGUGUGGUGAUUGACGUUACUCGCAGAAGAAGCACCGGCUAACUCCGUGCCAGCAGCCGCGGUAAUACGGAGGGUGCAAGCGUUAAUCGGAAUUACUGGGCGUAAAGCGCACGCAGGCGGUUUGUUAAGUCAGAUGUGAAAUCCCCGCGCUUAACGUGGGAACUGCAUUUGAAACUGGCAAGCUAGAGUCUUGUAGAGGGGGGUAGAANUCC